GACGGGGGCCCGCACAAGCGGAGGAACAUGUGGUUUAAUUCGAUGAUACGCGAGGAACCUUACCCGGGCUCGAACGGCUGGUGAAGCGAUCCAGAGAUGGUGACGUCCUUCGGGACACCAGUCGAGGUGCUGCAUGGUUGUCGUCAGCUCGUGCCGUGAGGUGUCGGCUUAAGUGCCAUAACGAGCGCAACCCUUGCCAUUAGUUACCAGCAUGUAGUGAUGGGGACUCUAGUGGGACUGCCACCGCAAGGUGAGAGGAAGGGGGGGAUGACGUCAAAUCAGCACGGCCCUUACGUCCGGGGCGACACACGUGUUACAAUGGGAGUUACAGAGGGGCACUACCUGGUGACAGGAUGGGAAUCUCGAAAAGCUCUCUCAGUCCGGAUCGGAGUCUGCAACCCGACUCCGUGAAGCUGGAUUCGCUAGUAAUCGCGCAUCAGCCAUGGCGCGGUGAAUACGUUCCCGGGCCUUGUACACACCGCCCGUCAAGCCAUGAAAGUCUGGGGCGCCUGAAGUUCGUGGGAGCAAGGAGCGACCUAGUUUUUUAACAGGUA
rnacentral:rRNA from 1 species